GAUGUCAUGACAUAGUGGUUUGAGUGUUGGACUACAACUCUGGAGACCAGGGUUCAAUUCCCUGCUCAGCU